CCUACGGGAGGCAGCAGUGAGGAAUAUUGGUCAAUGGACGCCAGUCUGAACCAGCCAUGCCGCGUGCAGGAAGACGGCUCUAUGAGUUGUAAACUGCUUUUGUACAAGGGUAAACCUGAAUACGUGUAUUCAGCUGAAAGUACCGUACGAAUAAGGAUCGGCUAACUCCGUGCCAGCAGCCGCGGUAAUACGGAGGAUCCAAGCGUUAUCCGGAUUUAUUGGGUUUAAAGGGUGCGUAGGCGGUCGGAUAAGUUAGAGGUGAAAUGUCGGAGCUUAACUCGGGAAUUGCCUCUAAUACUGUUGAGCUAGAGAGUAGAUGCGGUAGGCGGAAUGUAUGGUGUAGCGGUGAAAUGCUUAGAGAUCAUACAGAACACCGAUUGCGAAGGCAGCUUACCAAGCUAUUUCUGACGUUGAGGCACGAAAGCGUGGGGAGCAAACAGGAUUAGAUACCCGUGUAGUC
rnacentral:rRNA from 1 species